GAUGAACGCUGGCGGCGUGCCUAAUACAUGCAAGUCGAGCGAAGCGGGGACGGGUGAGUAACACGUGGAUAACCUCCUAUAAGACUGGGAUAACUUCGGGAAACCGUAGCCAAAACGGAUACUUAUAGCUGGAUCCUCGCUGCAUUAGCUAGUUGGUAAGGUAACGGCUUACAAAGGCAACGAUGCCUAGCCGACCUGAGAGGGUGAUCGGCCACACUGGAACUGAGACACGGUCCAGACUCCUACGGGAGGCAGCAGUAGGGAAUCUUGCGCAAUGGGCGAAAGCCUGACGGAGCAACGCCGCGUGAGUGAUGAAGGUCUUCGGAUCGUAAAACUCUGUUAGUAGGGAAGCGUUACCCAAACAGAAAGCCCCGGCUAACUACGUGCCAGCAGCCGCGGUAAUAC
rnacentral:rRNA from 1 species